rnacentral:rRNA from 1 species
GUAGGUGGCAAGCGUUGUCCGGAAUUAUUGGGCGUAAAGCGCGCGCAGGCGGUUCUUUAAGUCUGAUGUGAAAGCCCACGGCUCAACCGUGGAGGGUCAUUGGAAACUGGAGAACUUGAGUACAGAAGAGGAAAGCGGAACUCCACGUGUAGCGGUGAAAUGCGUAGAGAUGUGGAGGAACACCAGUGGCGAAGGCGGCUUUCUGGUCUGUAACUGACGCUGAGGCGCGAAAGCGUGGGGAGCAAACAGGGAUUAGAUACCCUGGUAGUCCACGCCGUAAACGAUGAGUGCUAAGUGUUAGGGGGUUUCCGCCCCCUUAGUGCUGCAGCUAGCGCAUUAAGCACUCCGCCUGGGAGUACGGCCGCAAGGCUG